rnacentral:rRNA from 1 species
UACGUAGGGCGCAAGCGUUGUCCGGAAUUAUUGGGCGUAAAGAGCUCGUAGGCGGCUUGUCACGUCGGGUGUGAAAGCCCGGGGCUUAACCCCGGGUCUGCAUUCGAUACGGGCUAGCUAGAGUGUGGUAGGGGAGAUCGGAAUUCCUGGUGUAGCGGUGAAAUGCGCAGAUAUCAGGAGGAACACCGGUGGCGAAGGCGGCUCUCUGGUACGUGACUGACGCUGAGACGCGAAAGCGUGGGGAGCGAACAGG